ACGCGGAGGCUUGGUGGCUCGUUGGGGCUAGACGACUCAGAGGCUCGAUAGGUUCUUGUAGUACAAGAGACACAUUGUGAUCCUGCAUUCAUUGGUCUAUGGAAAAUAGCUACUGGAUUCAUUCUAGAGUCAGAGGAGAUCUUUAUAGGAGCUGUGAGAGAAGUUGAGGAGGAAACUGGG